rnacentral:rRNA from 1 species
AGAGAGAGACAUGCGCGCAUAUCAAUAAGCGGAGGAAAAGAAACUAACAAGGAUUCCCUUAGUAACGGCGAGUGAAGCGGGAAGAGCUCAAAUUUGAAAUCUUCAAGGUUUUACCUUGACGAAUUGUAGUUUAAAGGAGUGUUUUCUGCUGAAGUUUUGGUAAAAGUUCUUUGGAAUAGGACAUCAUAGAGGGUGAGAAUCCCGUAUUUGACCAUUAUUUUCAGCUUUGUGAUACACUUUCAAAGAGUCGGAUUGUUUGGGAAUGCAGUCCAAAAUGGGUGGUAAAUUUCAUCUAAAGCUAAAUAUUGGCGAGAGACCGAUAGCGAACAAGUACCGUGAGGGUAAGAUGAAAAGAACUUUGAAAAGAGAGUUAAACAGUACGUGAAAUUGUCAAAAGGGAAGCGUUUGACACCAGUGUUGUUUUCUCGAAAAUCAAUUAAAAAUGGCUCGAUUUUGUAUUGUUGAGACCUUAAAAGCUCACUGUACAUUUUUCGUGUCUUUUUUAAUGCACUUUUCGUUUAACAAGUCAACAUCAGUUUCUUUUGUUGUAAAAGGGUCAUUGGAAGGUGGCUUUCUUUUCGGAGAAAGUGUUUAGUAGCCUUUGGCCUCUGCAAUCGGAGAGACUGAGGUCUGCAGCGUAGACUCUUCGGGGUUAGAUACAUUUGUGCUAAGUUAUAGCUUUUUAUAGACAACUUGUUGACUAUAAUUAGUCUUGUAGCUUACUCGCUUAUGCUAUUUUACCUACGCUUAGGAUGUUGAGUCGUAGAGCACGCAG